rnacentral:rRNA from 2 species
UACAGAGGUCUCAAGCGUUGUUCGGAUUCAUUGGGCGUAAAGGGCGCGUAGGCGGCGGGGUAAGUCGGGUGUGAAAUCUCAGGGCUCAACCCUGAAACUGCACUCGAUACUGCUCUGCUUGAGGACUGGAGAGGAGACUGGAAUUCACGGUGUAGCAGUGAAAUGCGUAGAGAUCGUGAGGAAGACCAGUGGCGAAGGCGGGUCUCUGGACAGUUCCUGACGCUGAGGCGCGAAGGCCAGGGGAGCAAACGGG